UUUGAUCUUGAUUACUGAUUCUGUUUUUGUUUUUUGUUUUUUUGGGUAAUGAAGGUUUUUGGGUUUGAGCAAGUAGAGUCUCCAAAGUUCGAAUUUGAGGUGAUAUGGUUGAAGCUUGGUUCAUCCAUGUUGCUGCACCUCAUAGAAAGGGACCCCACCGUCAUGCUUCCCGAAGGUCCAUGGAGCUCCGUGGCGGCUGUGGCAGACCCAAAGAACCUUCCAAGAGGACACCAUAUCUGUUUCUAUGUACCCGAAUUCGACUCCUUUGUUCAGAGAGUAAAGGUACACAAUGUCUAGCCUCUCUUCUCUGUUUCGCGCAAAUAGUGGAUUAUAUCUUUCAUUGUGUAUGAGAGUAUGUGUUUGCAGUUAGUUGUGUGAUUGUUAUUGUGAAUAUUUAGAAUAAUGGUGCUUUCUGAGUUCUGUCUAGGACCUUCUUGGCUGAAUCAAUGUCGUUUUUAGAAGUUUUUGCUUCAUUUUAUAGUAAUUUCGUUGAUAUAUUCGAUUAGAUAGAUUGAAGCUAGCUGCUUUGUGGUAUAAUUUGUAUAUAGAUCUGUGGUAGGGCUGUGUUUGAUGGCUCGAGAACUUGGCUGGACACUCUGUAAUUAUGUCAACAGUUGCUUCGAAUUUUCAUAUUUCGCUUGCAAAUUCCAACAUAGAUAAGUACUAAGGAUCCCCCUUUCGUAGCAUGCACCUUGUACCACUUCAAAACACCGGAAAUUCCUACGUUUGAUCUUUUCAAGCUUCGCUUCGCACUGUUGCUUGUUAUAAGACGCGAGUAUUAGUGUAGGAAUUUCCGGUGUUACUACGAUCUUCUUUUUAAGAUCAAAUGUGAUAUUUGCAAUUUCAUUGGUAGAUGAAGUUGCUAGUUUUAUCAUUUGUUGAUCUCGGAUGGUAAGUUACCUCGAAGUUUAGUUUGUUCUUCUGUAUUUCUAGGUGUGUUCAUCCGUCGUUACAAUAAUAUAAAUGGAAGCAUAUUCCUUUGGUUGAUAAAUUUAUCAUGAGAAAAUAAGGGAUAUAAAAAAUUUCUCCUUUUAAAACCCCUUCUUUUUUAUUCCUUAUUUUCUACAAAAGAGAAUUAUAUCCUUUCUCAUUCCUUCUUUUCACAAAAUGAUUUGAAGUGAGGGAGGAAUGAAAAAUGGUGAAAUUCUCUUUCGUAGAAAAAUGAUGGAGAUUUGAAGUGAGAAAUUUUGUUAUCCCUCAUUUUCUUAUGAUAAAUUUAUCCAACCACAGAAAGAGCAACUCAAUUUCCAGUUUUCGCUCUUUGCGUUCACGUCUUACGGAAGAUUCGCCUAUUUUCUUUGAGCAGGAUAAAGGAAUUCCGCUUCAUGAGAAGAGUCAACCAGAUGGGAAGACGAAGCAAGCAUUCUUCUUCGAUCCAGACGGUGAGUCAUUCCUCGUGCAAAACAAUUCCUCUGGUCCGAUCCUUCCUUGUUUAACGGGAUCUUCGUUCUAAUAUGCAGGAAACGGGCUAGAGGUAUCGAGCCAGAUGCCGUCACAGUAAAUCAGGUGUAGUCAUACAUGAUCCAACGAUACUAGUGAGCGAAUGGGAACGAAGUGCAUCUUAGUUGUUAAUACGUUUCCUCUCUAACUAGUAGGUCAGGAAUUCGAGUCAUCUAGUAUGCGUCAGUGUGUGUAACUCUAAAAAAAGAAUGUUGUGUAAAAUAUAUGUAUGUCCAAAAGGCUGGCUUAUGCCUAGCUUAUGAAAAUGUUUUGGUAUUUAUUCUAAUUGGCCAACUUGUUGCAAUGAGGCUUCUUCUUGGCUUCAAGAUAUUGCAAUUUUGGAUAUUAUUGAAUAAAUACUCCAAUAUAUCUUCUCCUUACAAAAUUGCAAAGACAAAGCUUAUCCAAAUAUAGGAGAGGUUUGAUGAUUCGAAUGAAUUUACUGAAACUUCUAAAUUAUGCUUAAAUAUAUGAAUUAUUAAUUACAAUUUUUUAAACGUCUGAUAUCAAACGCCUCUCUAAAUUCUACAUGGAGGUACAUCUUUUGCUGAUACCCUUCGAGUUUUCACUUUCUUAAUUUCGCCAAAUUUAUGAGUUUUUUAGUAAAAAUAGCAAGUUAAUUUUGUGGGUCUUGUGGAAUCUUCGAAUUUAAGCCAAAGGUGUUGGUUUCUUGGUGUAGAUAAGGUUCUGGAUAAAAUGAAAAAUAUGUUGAUUUUCACUUGUUUUAGACUCUUAGGGUUUCAGUUGGUGAUUAAUCAGAUUGUGUUUAAUCAUUGGAAAAUUUAAGCAAUUGAAUAGUGCAAUGAGUAAAAAAAGUGAUCUUGAUUAGUGGGACCAUUGUUUUUUGUUUAUUUGUAAUGAAGGUUGUUGGGCUUGAGCAGGUGGAGUCUCCAAAGUUCAAAUUUGAUCUUUAUUAGUGUUUCUUAUUUUGUUUUGUUAUGUUUUUGGAUAAUGAAGGUUUUUGGGUUUGAGCAGGUGGAGGCUCCAAAGUUCAAAUUUGAUCUUGAUUAGUGAUUCUGUUUUUGUUUUUGUUUUGUUUUUGGGUAAUGAAGGUUUUUGGGUUUGAGCAAGUAGAGUCUCCAAAGUUCGAAUUUGAGGUGAUAUGGUUGAAGCUUGGUUCAUCUAUGUUGCUGCACCUCAUAGAAAGGGACCCCACCGUCAUGCUUCCCGAAGGUCCAUGGAGCUGCUCCACGGCGGCGGUGGCAGACCCAAAGAACCUUCCAAGAGGGCACCAUGUCUGUUUCUAUGUACCCGAAUUCGACUCCUUUGUUCAGAGAGUAAAGG
rnacentral:lncRNA from 1 species